rnacentral:rRNA from 1 species
UGGGGAAUAUUGGACAAUGGGGGCAACCCUGAUCCAGCGAUGCCGCGUGUGUGAAGAAGGCCUGCGGGUUGUAAAGCACUUUCACAGGCGAGGAUGGUACUGAUAUUGAAUAGGUAUUGGUAUUGACGUUACCCUGAGAAGCAGCACCGGCUAACUCUGUGCCAGCAGCCGCGGUAAUACAGAGGGUGCAAGCGUUAAUCGGAAUUACUGGGCGUAAAGGGUGUGUAGGUGGUUAGAUCAGUUCACUGUGAAAGUUCCGGGCUUAACCUGGAAAGGCCGGUGGAUACUGUUUGACUAGAGUACAGGAGAGGGCAGAGGAAUUUCCGGUGUAGCGGUGAAAUGCGUAGAUAUCGGAAGGAACACCAGUUGCGAAGGCGUCUGUCUGGCCUGCUACUGACACUGAGACACGAAGGCGUGGGGAGCGAACAGGAUUAGAUACCCCCGUAGUCC